UACGUGGGUGGCGAGCGUUAUCCGGAUUUACUGGGUGUAAAGGGCGUGUAGGCGGCUCUGCAAGUCAGAUGUGAAAUUUCCGGGCUUAACCUGGACGGGUCAUCUGAAACUGCAGGACUUGAGUACUGGAGAGGAUAGCGGAAUUCCUAGUGUAGCGGUAAAAUGCGUAGAUAUUAGGAGGAACACCGGUGGCGAAGGCGGCUAUCUGGACAGUAACUGACGCUGAGGCGCGAAAGCGUGGGGAGCAAACAGGAUUAGAUACCCUGGUA
rnacentral:rRNA from 1 species